rnacentral:rRNA from 1 species
CCUACGGGUGGCAGCAGUAGGGAAUCUUGCUCAAUGGGGGAAACUCUGACGCAGCAACGCCGCGUGGAGGAUGAAGGUUUUAGGAUUGUAAACUCCUUUUGUAAGAGAAGAUUAUGACGGUAUCUAACGAAUAAGCACCGGCUAACUACGUGCCCGCAGCCGGGGUAAUAAGGAGGGUGCAAGCGUGACUCGGAAUCACUGGGCGGAAAGAUUGCGCAGGCGGGGUAGUAAUACAGAUGUGAAAUGCUGUAGCUUAACUACAGAACUGCAUUUGAAACUGUUACUCUGGAGUGUGGGAGGGGAAGGUGGAAUUCUUGGUGUAGGGGUAAAAUCCGUAGAGAUCAAGAGGAAUACUCAUGGCGAAGGCGACCUGCUGGAACAUUACUGACGCUGAUGCACGAAAGCGUGGGGAGCAAACAGGAUUAGAUACCCGGGUAGUC